rnacentral:lncRNA from 1 species
AAAUUAAACACUCAGAAUUUGAGAGAAAAAUGGUACAUACAGCCAAUAAUAGACGGGAAAAAGAAAAGGCAAACCGAUGAGCAAGGCCACUAACACCGUUGGAAAAGAUCAAAGUCAAAACCUCCGAAAUUAAAGCCAAAUUGGCUAAUUACGUUAACAUCCAAAAGAAAAUCUAUAAAGCCCUUAAAUCAGAAUUUUUUUUCAAAAAAUCAUUGCCGAAUUUUAAGGAACAUUUACAGGGAAUUGAACCAUGGCCGUCUCCAAGUCCCACUCAUCAUGGCUAAUGAUUUUGGCAAUCCUUUCUUUGUUGGUUUUAAACCACGCGGAAGCAUCAGAAUCUGAACCACCAAUUUCACCAUCUGAUGACAACAACAACAACAUCAACAUCAAGAAUGAAAACAAGUUGUCUGUUGGUGGCUUAAUUAACGGCGGCAAGAAUUUGAUUCACAAAAUGAUGUGGGUCGACGAUCACCAAUUGAUGCCCGAAAAUUACCCAACGACGUCUGAAUAUUACCCAAUGACGCCCGAUUUGGCCGGAGAGAGGCCCGAUUUGGCCGGAGAGAGGCCCGAUGGUGCCUGGGUGAGACCAGUGUUUAACAGGAUGGAACCAGAGUUCCUGCAAUGAAGAAAGUUGCCAUGAAGAGAGGUGGAUGGAGCUAUAUAUGUGAUAAAUGGAGGCGCCACACGCCUACGGCUUAGCAAGGUAAUUUGAUCAACAACAAAUAAGGCUCCCUAGGAAUUAAUGUAACAGUAAAUUUAAUUUUCAUUGACACUAAUUAAUCUCAUUACUAUUAAGCCCAAAAUGGAUUGUGUUGAUGCUUCUUGAUUGCUUCUGUCACAUUAUAGCUUG